UACGGAGGGUGCGAGCGUUGUCCGGAAUCACUGGGCGUAAAGGGCGCGUAGGCGGCCUGAUAAGUAGGGGGUGAAAUCCUGCGGCUUAACCGCAGGGCUGCCUUCUAAACUGUCAGGCUAGAGCACAGUAGAGGCAGGUGGAAUUCCCGGUGUAACGGUGGAAUGCGUAGAGAUCGGGAAGAACAUCAGUGGCGAAGGCGGCCUGCUGGGCUGUUGCUGACGCUGAGGCGCGAAAGCGUGGGGAGCGAACAGG
rnacentral:rRNA from 1 species